rnacentral:tRNA from 1 species
GGAGAUGUCGCAUAGUGGUCAAUUGCACACGCUUGGAAAGCGUGAGUCUCGCAAGAGCUUCAGGGGUUCGACUCCCCUCAUCUCCGCCA